rnacentral:lncRNA from 1 species
GGGAUCAGGAGCUGACUGAAGUAUACCAGGGGUUUCUACAGACCCACCGGCUGAGUCCCUAAUGGAACAUUAUUCCCAAUGUAGUGUACCAUAUAGAGAAUUAGGUGCCAUUUGGGAUGCUGAUCUGGGUAACAGGCUGAUAAGCUGUGGACACAGACGGCCAUCUCCACACCACGGCUGGGUUUCACAGAGGGCCACUCUCCACACCACGGCUGGGUUUCACAGACGGCCACUCUCCACACCAUGACUGGGUUUCACAGAGGGCCACUCUCCACACAAUGGCUGCUUUUCACAGAGGGCCACUCUCCACACAAUGGCUGCUUUUUACAGAGGGCCACUCUCCACACCACGGCUGGGUUUCACAGAGGGCCACUCUCCACACCACAGCUGCGUUUCAGAGGGCCACUUUCCACACCACGGCUGGGUUUCACAGAGGGCCACUCUCCACACCACGGCUGGGUUUCACAGAGGGCCACUCUCCACACCACGGCUGGGUUUCACAGAGGGCCACUCUCCACACCACGGCUGGGUUUCACAGAGGGCCACUCUCCACACCAUGGCUGGGUUUCACAGAGGGCCACUCUCCACACCAUUAAACAUUAAAACCCUUUACACAGACAGAGAGACAACAACUGUGAUUGGACAGUAAAUCUAACAGGGCUGAGCUGUCUGUAUACAGGGUUGAAUGGUUCAGGCCUUUACAUCUGCAUUUAAAAAGACACUCAUACAGUAUGGACAUCACUAUUGUGUUGAUUGAGCCAUUCCAGUCAAUCAUUUUGGUAUAUAAAUAGCCCAGGUAGCCUAGCCACCUGAAGUUUGAAUAUAAACCAAACUUGAUAACAUUCACAUUUUCUCAGAACACAAAUAAAAGGGGCCUAUUUUAGGAUAUAGAAACAUGACGUUACGUUUCCCUGGUCCAGAUGCCUUCUCCUGGCUACCUGCAGCUGUGGCUGUUAUUAGUCGGCUACAGUUGAUCAGACUAAAGCACAGAUUCAUCGUGCACGUUGACAAAUCAUGAGGCAUUUUAUAACACAGCUUGGUAGUGGGUAUGGUCUCCACAUAACACAGCUUGGUAGUGGGUAAGUGGAUAUGGUCUCCACAUAACACAGCUUGGUAGUGGGUAUGUGGGUAUGGUCUCCACAUAACACAGCUUGGUAGUGGGUAUGGUCUCCACAUAACACAGCUUGGUAGUGGGUAUGGUCUCCACAUAACACAGCUUGGUAGUGGGUAAUGGUCUCCACAUAACACAGCUUGGUAGUGGGUAUGGUCUCCACAUAACACAGCUUGGUAGUGGGUAUGGUCUUCUACAUAACACAGCUUGGUAGUGGGUAUGGUCUUCCACAUAACACAGCUUGGUGGUGGGUAUGGUCUUCCACAUCACACAGCUUGGUAGUGGGUAUGUUCUUCCACAUAACACAGCUUGGUAGUGGGUAUGGUCUCCACAUAACACAGCUUUGUAGUGGGUAUGGGCUUCCACAUAACACAGCUUGGUGGUGGGUAUGGUCUUCCACAUAACACAGCUUGGUAGUGGGUAUGGUCUUCUACAUAACACAGCUUGGUAGUGGGUAUGGUCUCCACAUAACACAGCUUGGUAGUGGGUAUGGUCUUCUACAUAACACAGCUUGGUAGUGGGUAUGGUCUUCUACAUAACACAGCUUGGUAGUGGGUAUGGUCUCCACAUAACACAGCUUGGUAGUGGGUAUGGUCUUCUACAUAACACAGCUUGGUAGUGGGUAUGGUCUUCCACAUAAAACAGCUUGUCGCAGUGAAUUCCACUUAUACCCACGUUUUUUGUCAAAAUUAGCUUUUACCCUGUGUACUGAUUUUUUUGCAUGAUAUUGCUAAAAAUGAAGCCUGGUUUGUUGUAAUGUUUAAGGUAGGCCUACUUUACAUUAUAUUCAUAUGAACAGGGGUAGUCGUUACUUGAUGAAGAGAUGCUGUUAGGGAAUAGUGCCUUAUGUUGUAGAAUACUAGUUUGGGCCUACUGGCUAGUGGCUACUGUAAUAUUUACAGUCAAUGUGAACUGUGGACCAAGAAUGUCGCAUUACCAGCCACAAGCAAAGGUAAGGCAAGGAUGUCAUGUGAAUUGAAAAGUAGAGAUCUCUUUUGCCACUCAGCUCCUCAGACUCUCCUUCACAUCUCUUAGUGGGAAUAGGGCCUAAACCCUGAUUACAGUAAAAAAAGAAAUGUUUUAAAAGUUGUCCUCCUUGAUGUGUUAAGGUGUCUAUGACGUGUGAAACAAGACUCUCUCUCUCUCAUGACAUAAUGCUGCAGUGAGACUGGGGGGAUUUCUCCACUUUUACUUUUAUAAACCUACUCUCUCUCUCUCUCACACACACACACACACACACACACACACACACACACACACACACACACACACACACACACACACACACACACACACACAUUUAUACAACUCUUUAUGAACAGUGGCCUUUCACACCAGUGUUCAGCAGGGAGAAGCAGUAAAAUGAAAUGGCCGAGACCAAUAGUAUAUAUCAUAAUUAAUAAGUAGCCAUGCUGGGAGAAAUGGUUAUACGCUGACGUAAAAAGGUCAACAACAUAUAAAAGUGAUCGUUCUUUCUCCAAGAAAUGCGUGAGUAGAAAGACAUCCAAAACAACCACAUUUGAAAUAUGUUCCGUGUUUUAUUUCUUAAACUCUGAUUGCUUUGCUGUGAUUACCUGGUGGGUUCAUGGCUGGGGGUUGGGGUUCUAAAGUGCACAUACACAAUCCCCCCCCACACACACACACACACACACACACACACACACACACACACACACACACACACACACACACACACACACUCGGUAACUCAUGUGUUCCCUUGGUGGUUCCAAGCAGGCCACCACCUGCAGUAUGCUGUACUGUAAAUGACUUGGCCAGCCUAAUUGGCCAUGUCCGCUGUAUAACUGAUCUAUUGCUGUAAACCUCUAGCGCUGUGCUAAUGUGAUUGUCAGCUACUUAAUCAGAACAACCUGAUCUAUUUCCUUAAGAAGCUAGCUUCUGUAACACUACCAGUAAUAUGAUUUAAAAAUAAAUAAAAAAGAAGAAUUAACAAAAAAAUGCCCUCCUGUGUUUAAUUAAAGGUAGGAGAAGAAGAAGCUGGUUUAAAGUAAUGAUAUUAUCUAACUAAUAUUUACAUGAUGAAGUCUGUGGGUUGGGAUGCAAUGACAGACAAAGAGAUAAUGUGCAGUAGUUUAGGGUUGCAUCCCAAAUGGCACCCUAUUACCUACAUAGACCCUGGUCUAAAGUAGUGCACUAUGUAAGAGAGUAGGGUACCACUUGGGAUGGAGCAUUAGAAACAGCUGGUUUUGAGGAGGGAGCAUUAGGAGAGAAUAAACACAGGUGGAGUAAUAGUCACACACUGCAACUGAGUCAUUAUGCCAAUCAAGCACCCUACUCCCUUUCCAUCAGUCCACAGCAUGGGUGGGCGGCAUCCCAAAUAGCACCCUACUCCCUUUCCAUCAGUCCACAGCAUGGGUGGGCGGCAUCCCAAAUAGCACACUACUCCCUUUCCAUCAGUCCACAGCGGGGGUGUGCAGCAUCCCAAAUAGCACACUACUCCCUUUCCAUCAGUCCACAGCGGGGGUGGGCGGCAUCCCAAAUAGCACUCUAUUCCCUAUAUAGUGCUCUGGUCAAAAGUAGUGCACUAAAUAAGGCAUAGGGUUGAAGACAUUUGAGACGCAGACCACACUUCCAAUAGGCCUGGUCUCUCUCUCUCUCUCUCUCUCUCUCUGUCUCUCUCAAGAAUAAAUAAUGACAGAGAGAAAUUAGCUAAAG